AUGACGAGUAGAGAGAAGUUUAUUACGGUAGCUGCCAUGGUUGUAGUUUUUCUUUUCUCAAUAGGUAUGCCCAGAGCAGAAGGUAGAAGGGUAAUAUCUGAAACAUGGACAUGUCCUAUCCAAUGUGGCCAAGCAAAACCUGAUUGUUAUACCUAUUGCACACAGAGUGGGAAGGGCUAUUGGAGAGGAGUGUGCAAGGAUUCAAUGUGUUGUUGUGCUACAAGGAAUGUGCAAGAGGGCCGUGAUUGA